rnacentral:rRNA from 1 species
UACGGGGGGGGCAAGCGUUUGUUCGGAAUUACUGGGCGUAAAGGGCUCGUAGGCGGCCAACUAAGUCAGACGUGAAAUCCCUCGGCUUAACCGGGGAACUGCGUCUGAUACUGGAUGGCUUGAAUCCGGGGAGAGGGAUGCGGAAUUCCAGGUGUAGCGGUGAAAUGCGUAGAUAUCGGGAGGAACACCAGAGGCGAAGGCGGCGAUCUGGACUGAUACUGACGCUGAGGUGCGAAAGCGUGGGGAGCAAACAGG